rnacentral:rRNA from 1 species
AGUCGAGGGGCAGCAUCAUCAAAGCUUGCUUUGAUGGAUGGCGACCGGCGCACGGGUGAGUAACACGUAUCCAACCUGCCGACAACACUGGGAUAGCCUUUCGAAAGAAAGAUUAAUACCGGAUGGUAUAGUUUUCCCGCAUGGGAUGAUUAUUAAAGAAUUUCGGUUGUCGAUGGGGAUGCGUUCCAUUAGGCAGUUGGCGGGGUAACGGCCCACCAAACCUACGAUGGAUAGGGGUUCUGAGAGGAAGGUCCCCCACAUUGGAACUGAGACACGGUCCAAACUCCUACGGGAGGCAGCAGUGAGGAAUAUUGGUCAAUGGACGAGAGUCUGAACCAGCCAAGUAGCGUGAAGGAUGACUGCCCUAUGGGUUGUAAACUUCUUUUAUACGGGAAUAAAGUGAGCCACGUGUGGCUUUUUGUAUGUACCGUAUGAAUAAGGAUCGGCUAACUCCGUGCCAGCAGCCGCGGUAAUACGGAGGAUCCGAGCGUUAUCCGGAUUUAUUGGGUUUAAAGGGAGCGUAGGCGGGUUGUUAAGUCAGUUGUGAAAGUUUGCGGCUCAACCGUAAAAUUGCAGUUGAUACUGGAUAUCUUGAGUGCAGUUGAGGCAGGCGGAAUUCGUGGUGUAGCGGUGAAAUGCUUAGAUAUCACGAAGAACUCCGAUUGCGAAGGCAGCCUGCUAAGCUGCAACUGACAUUGAGGCUCGAAAGUGUGGGUAUCAAACAGGAUUAGAUACCCUGGUAGUCCACACGGUAAACGAUGAAUACUCG